GCCGGGCCGGGCCGGGGCGGCGCAUGAGGGAGUGGGGCCGCGGGCCCGGCGCGGCGCGGCGCUGGGUGCCGGCGCGGGGCACCCGGAAGGACAACGGGGCGGCCGGGCGGGGAGGCGGCGGCUGCAUGGACAGCGGCGGGGAUGGGGCAGCAGCAGAGCGCGCCGAGCGCCCCCCCGCCGCCGCCGGAGCCUGGCGAGCCCGAGCCCCGCGGCCCCGUGGAGGAGGAGGAGGAGGAGGAGGCGGUGGCGGCGGCGGGCGGCAGCGGGCUAGCGGCCGGGCGGCGGCACGUGUGCUGCAGCGUGUACUGCGUGGAGAGCGAGCGGCCCGGCCCCGAGCCCGACCCCAGCCCCGGGGAGGAGCCGCGGGGCCCGGACCUGGACUUGUACCUGCUGCCGCAGCCCUUCCCCGCGCUGCUGGCGGCCGGCUGCGGGCCCGUGCUGCUGCUGGGCUGCCGCGUGUGCCUGGAGGAGAGGCCCGUGCAGCCGCUGCCCUGCUGCAAGAAGGCGGUGUGCCAGGACUGCCUGAGCCGCUACCUCGGCUCCCAGGUGCAGUUGGGGCAAGCAGAUAUAAAAUGUCCCAUCACUGAGUGCAAUGAACACUUGGAUGAAACAACCAUCCUCUACAAUCUGCCACACAACGACAUCAUCAAGUAUAAAUAUUUCCUGGAACUCAGCCGUAUUGACUCCAGCACCAAACCAUGCCCUCAAUGCAAGCACUUUACAACCUUCAGGAGGAGAGGCCACAUUCCAACUCCUACCAAAUUGGAGAACAAAUACAAAAUCCAGUGUCCAUCUUGCCAAUUUGUCUGGUGUUUUAAGUGCCACUCUCCCUGGCAUGAAGGCGUCAACUGUAAAGAAUACAAAAAAGGGGACAAGCUGCUGCGUCACUGGGCCAGUGAGAUUGAACAUGGGCAAAGGAAUGCCCAAAAAUGUCCCAAAUGCAAGAUCCACAUCCAGCGAACAGAAGGGUGUGACCACAUGACCUGUUCACAAUGUAACACUAAUUUCUGUUACCGUUGCGGGGAGAAAUACCGCCAGCUCCGUUUCUUUGGAGAUCACACGUCAAACCUCAGUAUCUUUGGAUGCAAAUACCGCUGCCUCCCCGAGAGACCGCAUUUAAGGAGAUUAGUGCGAGGCUCUGUCUGUGCUGGAAAGUUGCUCAUUACACCCCUAAUACUGGUUUUGGGACUGGCACUGGGAGCCAUAGCUAUUGUAAUAGGUUUAUUUGCUUUCCCUAUCUUUUGCCUUUGCGAAAAGCAGAAGAAAAGGUCACGGACAGGAAUGCCCCGGUAAGAGCGGGCCUUACCCAAACUGAACUGGUCCUGCAAAGUCUAUACAAGACUUGUGCAACAAAGCAAUACAGUGCUGGGUAACACCUUCGAAGUCAUCGCCCUUGAAGAAAAGAACAGGGAUCUUCUGCCAUCUUCCCUUAACACAGUACACUACUGCAGACCAGAAGGCCCCCUUGCUCUUGUAUGCUUUGAAUAAGAGGGGCCUGCUGCUUAACUGUUUGUUGUUUUUUAUUUUAUUUUUUUUAAUUUUUAGUUUUAUGUUUCUUACCUAGACAAUCAAAGUCUGUAUUGUAGCCACAACUCUACUGAUUGGCCUGUGAAGAAAACAUUUAAUUUGUAAUGUGUUCCUUUUAUGUUUGGGUUAGGCCUUUCAGAAGAACUGCUAGAGGUGUUUGGACUUUUGCUGUACACUGAACACCCUAGUUCUUAUGUUAGAAACUAAUUCUGUAAAUAUCUUUCGUCUCACAGUGUUUUGUCCAGCAUACCACCAUGCAAAGUCACGUGCUGGAAUAUAAUAGCUGGUUAUCUUAUGGGUUGAUUUUACCUUUUGACUAGGGAGUUUAAUGACCUGCGUGGCAAGGAUUGCCACUGCCAAAAUAUCAGUGCCUCAAACAAAAGUAAAAAGUAAAAUGAUUAGAACCAUGUCAAUGAUUAUUGUUUAAGUAUUUAUAUUAUGUUAAGAGUAUGUACUAUGAUUUGGGGGGAAAAGUCAUUCUGUAGGAGAGUACAUUGUUUUAACUUUUUCUUUAACAAAGAAAAAAAUAGCUCUCCAUGGUAAUGAGACAAGUGUCUCUGUCCCGCUCUGUCUUUGGAUACAUAAUAGGCUGGGAUGGACAGUGAGACCAUGGGAGCUUGAGUUCAUGAUGGAGCUAGAAACAUACACCUUCUGUUGUUUUUUGGCGUAUACCAAAUACUACAUACUAACAACCAGGGGUACUCUGACCCAGCAGCGGCUAUGGAAAUAGUACCUUUCUUAAGAGUUGCAAAUUUAUAAGGUAAGGCAGUGACAAGAAAAUCUAUGUAUUAUAUCACUAUCUUAUUAUAUAUGACAUAUCCCUAUUAUUUAGUUGUAUCUGCAAGUUGGCAGCUGCCUUAAAACUAGUCUGUUUUCUGAGGCCAUACAUAUCAGUUGUCUUUGGCUUACUCAGGGAUUUUUAUUCCUUCCUUUAACUGUCUAAUAAUUUUAGGGAUAUUUUUAUGUUAUUUAGAAAACCUUCAGACCUCUAAAAUUAUAGAUUUGGUCUUUGCAAUGCAACUUUAAAAUAGUGUCAAAACAACUAUUCCAUUUAAGUAUACUUCAGUACUUGAGUUUUCCUGUUAUUGAUUACAUGGUUGAAUUAUGGCAUUAUUCUUCCUGGGUUUUUUUUAUAAAUAUUUUGCAAUUUUGUUACUGUCUGUAAACUGUUUUGUAGCUUUUUCAUUGUGGAAGGUUUAAGAUACCUCAACUCCCAUCUGAAAAAUAUGAUGUUAAGAUAUUAGGAAAAUUAAAUGAAAAGCACGUUUCCUUAUUAGUGCCAUCAGUGUGAGUAAGGUAAUAGAUUCCUUUACCUUUCGUUUUUAAACAGAAAGCUGUUUCAGAGAACAAAAAGCAUGUCAUUAAGGGGAAAAGAAGUACAAAAUACGCAUCUCUCAAUUCCUCCAGUAUCAUAAUCUAAGGCAUUUAAUCUGAUGGAGGUAGACAAAUUCAAAUCAAAAUGGAACUUCAUUUUGUUUGUGCACAUAACAAAAACAGGCAGCAUUUUUCCUAAUGCAUUUUUUGAAGUGAGGAAUUAUACUCCAAAUACCUUUUGUUAUGUAUAUGUUGUAAUUUGCCUCCUGGCUGUCUGGUUUGAGGGGGGAAAACUAAAUCCUGGAUUGCUUUGGCUUUUUAUAGUUCUGUUUUUUCCCCUUAAAUAGAGAUGCCUUUAUUUGUACACUAUAGUUAAGAUUUUUAUAUUUAGUAAUUAUUCCAUAAAUGGCAAAAUAUUUGUAUUUGAGUAUUCAACAGAAAUUUGUUUUUGUUGUUCUUUAGACCUCUAAACAGUCCUUUAAUUUCAUGGGAACAUUUAAAUAUUUGACUAGAUAGUAAAAAACAAUGCUCCCUAUAUCAUUUCUGAUAUGUAAUAUACUGAAAUUUGUGGCAUGGAAGAAUUUAUUUGGCCACCCUUAUAAGUAAACUAAAAUGAUUCUCAUUCCCCCUUGCAAAGGGAACACAUUUAGUAAGCAGUUCUGCCCUGCUGCUAUCAGUAGAACUCUUGCAUUAAACACUUGAGGUACAAGUAGCAGUCUACCCAAGUCAAGGAAGAGGUUGGCCGAUUUUGUAGAGAGAUUGUGGGGUCUGGUGCCAUAUUCAUGGGCUGAUCUCAGUGGCUCGCCCCAACCUCUGAUUGGCCGAGGGGCCCCAACGGCCUUGUCUCUUGCCAGUGAUUGGCUGUGAGGGCUGUCUGCCAUGCAGCCCCGCCCCUCACCACUGACAGGGCCACAUAGGCAGCUUUCUUAGCCAAUCAGGAGCAGGGGCAGCAGCCCUCUUGGGCUGCCCUUCAGGUGGGCGGCAGCAGCACCUCUUCCCCUCCCCCACAGGCUUUGCAGCCAUGCCACAGUGCCGUGAAGACUGCUGGCUCCCUCUGGGAAGCCAGUAUUUUAUUUUCAGUACGUUUUCUUUUUUUCUUUUUUUGCGGAUUUUGUGGGCAAUGAUAGAUUUCUCAAUGUCCAGGAAAUCACAAUUUCAGCAGGUCCCUGGUUAUAAGUUCUUUGGAUGCUUUGGGACAGUUUUUCUUGUAUGUGGAAAAAAACCAGAUCCAUAGGCUCUGAGAAUUAGAUGCAUCAAAAUUAUUUGUUCUUUAAGGAAUUCCUUCUCACCCAGAUCAAUCUUCUGAUUAAUUCUAGAGUAUAUUCUGUAAUAGCUGUAUAACACAAGUAUUCAUCUUUGUAAUUCAUAUUGUCUCUGCUUACCUUUUUAUAGCCUGGUUCUGUCUUGCCCCUAUUUUCUUAAAAUCCCACAAUGGAAUAAUAUAAGAGCAAACCAGUGGAGAUAUGAUUGCCUAACCAUUCCUAAGGAAAUUUCCAAGCAAAAACAAUACACCAUUAACUUAAACUAUCUUUCUGCAGCCACAUCUCUGCAGUUGUGGAUGGUUUAAAGGAUGGUCAGCUGCCACUGUAUAAGCCUUAUCUAGAUGACUUGAACUACAGACCGUGGACAGAGGUCCAUAUAAAUGGCUCUGCCUCCUCUUGAUCUGGUGUAUGUGGAAUAUUGUUCUGUGGGGAAUAACUACAGUCCUCAAAAAACCUCAUCCUUAGUUCUUUCUCCUGAUUUCUUUAGUAGAAGAGGAGAAGUGAUCCUAUGUACUGUUUUGUCAAGUUCAUAGCUGCCCUGGGCUAAAUAAAAUCUGAGGCUAAAGGCUAUAUAGUGGUUGUUAUAUAACAGAGAUCCUAUUAACUCAGUAUUGUUUAUUAACAUAUGUAUCCCCUCAACUUGGCAUUUUGAAUGGCUACUAUAAAUAUUCGCUCUGAAUGGCUAGCACGGGGGGUCAGCAACCUAUGGCUCACAGGCUGGAGCUGACCUGUGAAGCCAUUCAAUCCAGCCUGUGGAAAUGGGACUUUGACAGUGGGGAGCUUUGGUAGCAGUCACUUUCCUGUGCCUUUGCAGGGAGAAGUGCUGGCUGUGGGCAUUCUCCCCAUUCUGCCACAGGGAAAAGCAGUGGUGGCUAGGUCCCACCUGUCUGCUUGCCCACCCCUAAGUGGGUCAAUCUGGCCCACAGUCUUAAAAGUUUGCCAACUGCUUGGCUAGUGCCCUUGGCAUUUCUCAUCCACAUGUCCAUACCCACUUAGCUACUUGAUUUGUUAUGUGCCAAUCUAAUCCUAGUUUCUCUAAUAGUUUUAUUUCUCGUGCUGUUGUUCUCUCUUAGUUGCCUUCCUUCCACUAAGAGUAAUUAAAUUCUGCAUAAAUAAAACCAAGUGAGGUUACAGAGUGGUGAGGGCACCAGAAGGUGAGACAAUCCUGUUUGUGGUGGGGAUGUUAGGUAACUCUGAGUGCAGUAGGCUUGUAGAGUGGAUAUGUUUACUUAAUAAUCAUGUGGCUCUUACACAAGGAUGCUUACAUACGCUUCGUGUGAUAAAUCCCUACUCCUUGAGCAAGUAAGAGUGAAGUGAAUCAUUUGAGAGGCAGGACUGCAGUUGUGAGAGAGCUUGUGCUGCAGUUGGCUCAGUACUUUCCAUUUCAGCAGAAUAUAUUUACAGUAUGUUUUCACUUGUAUAUUAGUGUCUCUAAUAUAAAAUGCAAGAUUGUAGAUCAGUUGCAUCCCAAAAUCUCUGUGCUAAUUCAGAGGGUUGAGAAUCUAGAUUUGGUUGGGGUUUUUUUUUGAUACUUUGGUUGUGCUCACUGAACAGCUAUUGAUGAGAUGGGGUCUUCUAUUUGCAUUGGUUUACUUCAGUUCUGAAAAUUCGAACAUCACAUAGUUUUACUUUUUCUGUAUUAUGUGAAGAGUUUACUGACAGUUAAACUAGAAUACGUUUGCAUUUCUACUAUAACUUCCAUUUAGUCAGUUGACUGCCUCUCUUGAAAUCCAUAGUGACUAGUAUGACUUUAAAUGGAAAGUACAGGAGGAUAUAAUCCCUUUUUUCAUGAAGGACAGACUGUAGUGAUGAAAUGAUUCUAGAGGAUUUCAUGGUUUCUCUUGCCAGUUCUAUUUGGGAAACCAGUUCAAAAUCAGUAGCCAAAUAUGUUACAGACUUAGCUUUUUUACUGUUCUUGUGGCAUUCCUUUCUGGAGCAGACAUUACAUUUUUAUAAUCAUUGGCAUGGUUAUAGCUGUGCAGCUCCAAGUUGUGGAUGUGACCCAUGGGCUAUUAUUACCUUAUAAUCUAUAUUAGAUCACUACGAAUUUUGCUAAUGGGGCACCCAGAUGAUGGGAGAAAAUGUCUUGAUUUCUUCCUUAUUUGCAGUGGGUCAAACUCAGUGCUGGUGUUCGAACCAGCUCCAUUGAAAACAGUGAAGCUGCAUCCAUUUUUACACCAUUGGUGAAUUUGGCCUGUAAUGUGUUGACCAAAUUACCUGAAUGUAUGUUUAAAGAUGAUAAUGCAGAAAUUGAAAAAAUAAGAUUCGCUUCUGAAGAUCAGAAUUUUUUCUUGUAAAAAGACCUCCCAUUAUUUUUAGGCUGUCAGAAAUCUUGUGCAGCUGCUUCUGAGUAAUUCUAGCACUGAUUAUUUUUGUUUUUGUACAUUUUUUCCCUGUAGCACUAUUUAAUUAAGGGCAGUUGUCUUGGUUACAAAUAGUUUUUUCAUUAAAUUUCCCUGUAAGGAAAUACCAACUUGUACUUAUUUUCUCCUUGAAAUACUGAUAAUAUUAGAAACCACCUCUUCAACAGUGUUAAUUUAAGCCCUGCCUUUUUCAGUAUAACCCUCACGUGCAUGUUUUAGAAACUUCAACCAGCACAAUUCCAGCUUUAAAAGAAAGACCCUUACACUGGGACAAACUUGAAUGUGUGCACACUUAAUCACAAAAGCAGUGUGUGUUGCUAAUGUUUUUGGUAUUUUAUCUGCUUAGAUAAGGAGGCACAGAACAUGGCUUCCCCAUCUGUCUAAAUCUACUAUGAAGUCAGUCCUGUGAUUCAAACAGUUAGAUGUGGAAAUUACUGGAGUUGUGAUUUAGCGUUGACUCAGUGAAGCAGAAGUAAUUGGCUUGUUUAGGAGGUUAGGAAAAUUUAGAGAAUGAGCUGAGUGUUUAAAGUGUGACUAUAUGUGAAAACCUCCAUCCCAUCAUGCUGUCUUACUGGAAAAAAUACUCUUGCAACAUAGUUUGAUUUUUUUUUUUCUUUAAUAGACCGUAUAGUAAAAAUGCACCUUUUUACUUCCUGUUCACAGUACUGUCAUUCUUUUGUCCAUGUAACUUUAAGAACAAGGACUUAUACAUCUAUAUAUUUUGCCUUCCUAUAAAAAGUGGAAAUUUUAGCAUUGAAAGGCAUUUAAUCUCCAGUGCUGUUUGUAGCCUAACAUUAAAACAUUUGUCAACAUACAUGCUUAGAGAGUUGGAGCUUGAUCAUAGAAUGCAUGAUGUGUUUGAGGUGUAUGAGUAUAUAAGUAACUAUUGUUAGUUGUUCCUUUGGAAAAAAAACAAAUUGUAAUAUUAAACAUAUCUCCCAUUAUUUCCCCUAUAUAAUGCAGUAAGGGUCCUGUCCCUGAUUGUAAUCAGGAGAGAAUACUGCAUGUUGUGCAGCAGAAAACCUGUUGAAACCAUACUUAAUUCACAUGAAACAUUGAACAGUAAAUCCAAAAGCUAUUGGAUGGGAUCAAAGUCAGCAUGAGAGAGGUUUAUAUGUAAAUUAUUAGCAAAAUGUAAAUAGUCACAUUAGGAAUGGCUAAAGUAGAAAAUGUAAAACCCUAUUAGAGAUCACUGCAUGCCAACCUUCACCAGCCAUCAUGUGGCAUAAAGCCUGGAAACAGCAAAUAGAACAUUCCUGGAAAACGGGGGGGGGGGGGGGGGGGGGGGGGGGGGAGAGAGAGGGGGAAGCGUAGUAAAAAACUAUUAGUCGCAAGUUGCUAAAAUAUGAGCACCUCUCCUUGUAGAUUGUUCACAGUCAAAAAAUGCAGUCACAUCUAGUGCAAGCCCACUGUAUGCAGUGGAUUGUUUUGUGCCAUGUCCCCAUCUUUUUAUAUAGAAAUGUAUUAAGAAUGUUUUGUGUUACCCCUUUCAUGUUAAUCUCUACAUUCUGCUGCUUCAUAUCCAAGGACAAAAAAGACGAGGAGAAUAUACAUUUCACUCUGUGUAUGCCAUCUCAUAAUAAAAUGUGUUUACCAUA